CAGAUAAGCCAUACCAAAUUUUAUACCCCACUCAGAAGGGAUGUCUGGCGAUCUACUGGUUGGGACGGGUUUUCCCCGAUAACUAUUUCAAGUUGUAACGCACAUACCCUGUUUCGGGGUGUCAGCACAUGAAAAUAGGUUUCCCCAGUUUGAAAGGGGUAACCCAAAAUAACUGAUAUACUACCCGAAUUGAAACAUCUUACGUAGGGUAAGGAAAGCCAAUCAACCGAGAGGUUUGAAGUAGUGGUGAGCGAAACAAACCGUGACUUAAGACCUACUUGGGGGGCUACCCUUUUUGGAAAAAAAAGGCCAAGGUGAAACUCCUUGGGUACCCCUUCCAAGUAGAGAUCUCAACGAGUAAACCGGAGUAUAAGCUUUUCUGGUUGAAUAGGGGAGGACCGCCUUCCAAGUCAGUGAUACAGUAGAUCCGCGAUAGUGAAGAGUACCGUGAGGGAAAAGAUGAAAAGAACCUUGAAGGAAAGGGCUGAAAUAGAUUCUGAAAUUCUGAGUUAUUCAAGCAGUAGUCGUGUUGGCUGCGUACCUUUUGCAUAAUGGGUUGACAACUUAUCCUCGGUAGCAAGCCUAACCGCGUAGGUAAUUCGUUUUUAAAGUUACCGAGGUUACACCCGAAACCAAGUGAGCUAACCCGAGACAGGCUGAAUCAACUUAACCGUCCGAGGAGGGCCGAACCCGUGUAUGUGGCAAAAUACUGGGAUGAUCUCGGGUUAGGGGUGAAAGGCUAAUCAAACUUGGUUAUAGCUGGUUUUCCGCGAAACCUAUUAAGGUAGGUCCGUUAGGUAUAAAUUAAGGUGGGUAAAGUUACAGGGUUGGCCAUCGGGGGCGGGGAACUGCUUACCGGUUCUAUCCUAUCUCAGAAUACCCUUAAUUAAGGCCCUAACGAGUCAGAACCUCGGUGCAAAGGUCGUGUGUUCAAAAGGGAAAUAGCCCUCAACCACAGCUAAGGACGGUAAACUUAACUAACGGAGAAAUUAAGGUAGUCCCCCCGUGUAGAAUCCCAGGAGGUGGGCUUGGAAGCAGCCAUCCUAUAAUGAAAGCGUAACAGCUCACUGGAGGAGCGGGGUUCCACCGAUGAUAAACGGCUGAGUUAAGUUCCGAAGCUUGGUGUUUUUUGUGAUCCACAAAAAGCGGUAGCGGAACUUUUGUUCUUUAAUUAAAAUGAGUAAUCCAACAGAAAAGAAAAUGUCAACAUGAGUAGCACUCAAAAAGGUGAAAACCCUUUUCGUUGUAAGUCCCCGGUGUAAGGGUUCCACAGAACGGCUAAUCCGCUGUGGGUGAGCCGGCCUCUAAGAUGAAUGACUAAAGUUUAGUUGAAGAGUACCGAAGUUUACAUUCAAGGUGUUUCCAAACUUGGGGCCCACCCAGACGGGGGUGUACCCCCGUCUGGGUGGUUCCAUAAAAAGGGUUUUGAAAAAAAACCGUACCUAAACCGACCCAGGUGGGCUGGUGUAGAACACCCAAACGUUUGGAGUAACCUCCCUGAAGGAACUCGGCAAAUUAACCCCGUAACUUAGGAAGAAGGGGGGCCUUGUAAUUUAAUUAUGAGGUGGCACAAAAUAGGGAGUAGCGACUGUUUAGUAAAAACACAGGACUCUGCAAAGUUGAAAAACGAGGUAUAGGGUCUGACGCCUGCCCGGUGCCAGAAAGUGAACAGGAAAAGUUUAACAAGCUUUGAUUUUAAGCCCUGGUAAACGGCAGCUGUAACUCUGACGGUUCUAAGGUAGCGAAAUUCCUUGUCGGGUAAGUUCCGACCUGCAUGAAUGGCGUAACGACUUCUCCACUGUCUCCAGGGGGGGUCCAGUGAAUUUGAAUUUUUUGUGCAGAUGCAAAAUAACAACAGCUAGACGGAAAGACCCCGUGCACCUUUUUCUACAUCUUUGGCUUGCUUCUUUGGAACCCCCUGCGUAGGGUAGAAGAUAGUUUAGAAGAGCCCUCUCCGGGGGGUUUUAAAACGUGGGUGAAACAUCUUUCUGGGGGUUACGUAGAAGGUAACCCUAAACAAGGGGACCCGUCAUGGUUGGUAGUUUAGCUGGGGCGGCUGCCUCCUAAAAGGUAACGGAGGUGCGCAACGCUGGAAAGGUUAAGGUUUUCACCUUUAACAAAGUGUAAUAGCUAUUUCUGGUUUACCCGGGGGGAGACACCCCCCCGGGUCGGUGAACCCACCCGGGUUUAUCGCGCUAUAGUGAUCCGGUAGUGCUGCGCGGAAAGACUACCGCUUAACGGAUAAAAGGUACGCCGGGGAUAACAGGCUGAUAACCCCUGAGAGCCCAUGUCGAUGGGGUUGUUUGGCACCUUAAAAGGGGAGCCCGGUUAGUAAUUUCAGGGUUGCACCAAGCUAUAUGCGAGAACUUACUGGACAGGGUACAGUAAUACUCGCAGGGGG
rnacentral:rRNA from 1 species